rnacentral:rRNA from 1 species
AGAGUUUGAUCCUGGCUCAGGAUGAACGCUGGCGGCGUGCUUAAUACAUGCAAGUCGAGCGGCAGCACGGUCUUCGGACUGGUGGCGAGCGGCGGACGGCUGAGUAACGCGUAGGAACGUACCCCAAAGUGAGGGAUAAGCACCAGAAAUGGUGUCUAAUACCGCAUGUGCUCUACGGAGUAAAGCUUCGGCGCUUUGGGAACGGCCUGCGUUUGAUUAGCUUGUUGGUGAGGUAAUGGCUCACCAAGGCAGCGAUCAAUAGCUGGUCUGAGAGGAUGACCAGCCAGACUGGGACUGAGACACGGCCCAGACUCCUACGGGAGGCAGCAGUAGGGAAUCUUCCACAAUGGACGAAAGUCUGAUGGAGCAACGCCGCGUGAGUGAAGAAGGUUUUCGGAUCGUAAAACUCUGUUGUGAGGGAAGAACAAGUAUGAGAGUAACUGCUCGUACCUUGACGGUACCUCAUUAGAAAGCCACGGCUAACUACGUGCCAGCCGCCGCGGUAAUUC